rnacentral:rRNA from 1 species
CAGCCGCCGCGGGAAUACGAGGGGGGCAAGCGUUGUUCGGAAUUAUUGGGCGUAAAGGGCGCGUAGGCGGUUUGACAAGUUUGGUGUGAAAUCUAUGGGCUCAACCCAUAGCCUGCAUCGAAAACUGUCGGGCUUGAGUAUGGGAGAGGUGAGUGGAAUUUCCGGUGUAGCGGUGAAAUGCGUAGAUAUCGGAAGGAACACCUGUGGCGAAAGCGGCUCACUGGACCAUUACUGACGCUGAGGCGCGAAAGCUAGGGGAGCAAACAGGAUUAGAUACCCCCGUAGUCCCUGUCUCUUAUAC